GCCCCUGUGACGGCCACAGGUGGCGGACCUCUCGGCGCCAGACGGCAGCCUGUCGUGCCGCGCUCAGCUCGCAGCUCGGAGGAUCCGUCGGCUCUCUUGUGACCAGGUGCCUGACGGGCCGUGCGUCUGCGGCCGGCCGUGGCCGCCUCUCGCCGUCCGAUGGUGGCCAGGUCCAGAGGAGAGCCCAACCACUCACGCCACACGGCCGCCGCCGCCGCCAUGCUCUGCUGCGGCCCAGAGAAGGAUGGCUCAGAACAGUCAGCCGACAUGUCCAGGUCACCGCGACACAAGCAGCAGCAACAGCAGCAGCAGCAGCAGCAGCAGCAGCAC